AUUGAACGCUGGCGGCAGGCCUAACACAUGCAAGUCGAGCGAGCGGCGGACGGGUGAGUAAUGUCUGGGAAACUGCCUGAUGGAGGGGGAUAACUACUGGUAACGGUAGCUAAUACCGCAUACUAUCGGAUGUGCCCAGAAGGGAUUAGCUAGUAGGUGGGGUAACGGCUCACCUAGGCGACGGUCCCUAGCUGGUCUGAGAGGAUGACCAGCCACACGGUAACUGAGACACGGUCCAGACUCCUACGGGAGGCAGCAGUGGGGAAUAUUGCACAAUGGGCGCAAUCCUGAUGCAGCCAUGCCGCGUGUAUGAAGAAGGCCUUCGGGUUGUAAAGUACUUUCAGCGGGGAGGCGUUACCCGCAGAAGAAGCACCGGCUAACUCCGUGCCAGCAGCCGCGGUAAUUC
rnacentral:rRNA from 1 species